rnacentral:rRNA from 1 species
UACGGAGGGUGCAAGCGUUGCUCGGAAUUAUUGGGCGUAAAGGGUAGGUAGGUGGUCUCAUUUGUCUGGGGUGAAAGCCUUGAGCUUAACUCAAGAAGUGCCCCAGAAACGGUGAGACUAGAGUCCUGGAGAGGGUCGUGGAAUUCCCGGUGUAGCGGUGAAAUGCGUAGAGAUCGGGAGGAACACCAGAGGCGAAGGCGGCGACCUGGACAGGUACUGACACUCAACUACGAAAGCGUGGGGAGCAAACAGGAUUAGAAACCCCCGUAGUCC